rnacentral:lncRNA from 1 species
GGCUGUGGUCCGCAGCAUAGCAGUGUGAUGAAUGCUGCAGUUUGCCUCUGCCUUCCUAUACUGAUUGAUAGCAAUGGCAGCAGAGGGAGUGUGCGUUCUUACAUCCAUUUUCUUACACCUUUUGGUGGAGGCCUAACUACUGGGCAUGCUAAGGGACCACAUUGUCUGCUGCUUACUUGCUAUUCUUCUUAGAUACCUAGGGAAGCUCACAGGUUUUCAACUCUAGUAAUUUUUGUAUGCCUUUGCAAGGAGGGAAAGAAAUAGCAUGGUAUUUUUAACAGUAAUUAAAAACCAAUAAUAAGUUGCAAAAAUCAAAUACAGCUGUUUGUUGCAAGAGCUCUUCACGCUGGCUCACCUCCCACUUCUGGACACUAGAGGCCAUUCUGUUCUUUCACAUCUCAAAUACCUGCUGAUUUCUUAGUGGAAGUCCAGCUGGACUUAACCCCAAGCCAGCAAAAAUUCCUUAGAGGAAUAACGAGCUCUGGAGUACACAGUAAGGGGGAGAGAAAGUUGGAGAGUGCAGAAUGAUUAGUAGCAGCAAGUGGAUGAGUAGAUAUGUUUUCUCACGUUGGCUGGUUGGUUUUCGAAUAUAUGCUUUCAGAAGUUUCUUUGGGAAAUGUUAAGUGACCUGUUCCUCUGCAUCCUGAGUUUAGUACAUGCUUACUCCUUCAGAAAAAAAAAAGAGUAUCGUUUGUCUUAACGACAAACAAUAUCAUGAUGAUUAUUUUAAUAGUUUCCUUUAAAUUAUUAUAUUUAGAUAGCAUGAUAACAUGUCAUCAAUCAGCUGCUUCCCAGUAUGCUGCAAAACAGCCAGUCACUUCUUUAAAAGUCUCAGAAUGGUGGGUAAUCUAACUCUGAGCAUGCCAGGUGAGUUACAUGAAGAAGUAAAGCAGUGGUUGACUGAAUUAAAAGUCUCCAGAGAAUCACUGUAAAAUUAUGUAUUUUCAUGAAUAGUUUUUACACAACUUGUACCACAACAUUUCUGCUCUUAGCUUAUUGCCAAGCCAGUUGAAUUCUCCUUCUGUAUCCUAGCGUCUUCCUUAUCCAUCUUCUUGGCCUUCUGCUGAGUCCUUCUUUCUGCUAUCUCCAUUCUCCUUAGUGUGCUGAUAUGAAGUCAAAACUAAUAAACCUGAAACCUUUAAAAACAGAACUGUUU